GCCCGGCUUGCUCAGUUGAUAGAGCAGGAGACUCUUAAUCUCAGGGUCCUUGGUUCAAGCCCCAUGUUGGGUA
rnacentral:tRNA from 1 species